AAUCCAUGAUGAGGGAAUUGAGCUUGGUAGCCUUUGAAUCUCUCCCAGGCUUCACUGAAUCCUUCCAAGCCUUUCUGUUGAAAGCUGGAGAUCUCAUUUCUCAGCUU
rnacentral:snoRNA from 1 species